CAGGCUUAACACAUGCAAGUUGAGGGGCAGCAUGGUCUUAGCUUGCUAAGACUGAUGGCGACCGGCGCACGGGUGAGUAACACGUAUCCAACCUGCCGUCUACUCUUGGACAGCCUUCUGAAAGGAAGAUUAAUACAAGAUGGCAUCAUGAGUCCGCAUGUUCACAUGAUUAAAGGUAUUCCGGUAGACGAUGGGGAUGCGUUCCAUUAGAUAGUAGGCGGGGUAACGGCCCACCUAGUCUUCGAUGGAUAGGGGUUCUGAGAGGAAGGUCCCCCACAUUGGAACUGAGACACGGUCCAAACUCCUACGGGAGGCAGCAGUGAGGAAUAUUGGUCAAUGGGCGAGAGCCUGAACCAGCCAAGUAGCGUGAAGGAUGACUGCCCUAUGGGUUGUAAACUUCUUUUAUAAAGGAAUAAAGUCGGGUAUGCAUACCCGUUUGCAUGUACUUUAUGAAUAAGGAUCGGCUAACUCCGUGCCAGCAGCCGCGGUAAUACGGAGGAUCCGAGCGUUAUCCGGAUUUAUUGGGUUUAAAGGGAGCGUAGAUGGAUGUUUAAGUCAGUUGUGAAAGUUUGCGGCUCAACCGUAAAAUUGCAGUUGAUACUGGAUAUCUUGAGUGCAGUUGAGGCAGGCGGAAUUCGUGGUGUAGCGGUGAAAUGCUUAGAUAUCACGAAGAACUCCGAUUGCGAAGGCAGCCUGCUAAGCUGCAACUGACAUUGAGGCUCGAAAGUGUGGGUAUCAAACAGGAUUAGAUACCCUGGUAGUCCACACGGUAAACGAUGAAUACUCGCUGUUUGCGAUAUACUGCAAGCGGCCAAGCGAAAGCGUUAAGUAUUCCACCUGGGGAGUACGCCGGCAACGGUGAAACUCAAAGGAAUUGACGGGGGCCCGCACAAGCGGAGGAACAUGUGGUUUAAUUCGAUGAUACGCGAGGAACCUUACCCGGGCUUAAAUUGCAGAUGAAUUACGGUGAAAGCCGUAAGCCGCAAGGCAUCUGUGAAGGUGCUGCAUGGUUGUCGUCAGCUCGUGCCGUGAGGUGUCGGCUUAAGUGCCAUAACGAGCGCAACCCUUGUUGUCAGUUACUAACAGGUUCCGCUGAGGACUCUGACAAGACUGCCAUCGUAAGAUGUGAGGAAGGUGGGGAUGACGUCAAAUCAGCACGGCCCUUACGUCCGGGGCUACACACGUGUUACAAUGGGGGGUACAGAGGGCCGCUACCACGCGAGUGGAUGCCAAUCCCCAAAACCUCUCUCAGUUCGGACUGGAGUCUGCAACCCGACUCCACGAAGCUGGAUUCGCUAGUAAUCGCGCAUCAGCCACGGCGCGGUGAAUACGUUCCCGGGCCUUGUACACACCGCCCGUCAAGCCAUGGGAGCCGGGGGUACGUGAAGUGCGUAACCGCGAGGAGCGCCCUAGGGUA
rnacentral:rRNA from 1 species